UGUGGUGGUUUAAGACCACAGAAACUUAUUCUCACACAGUUCUGGAACACAGAAGUCUGAAAUCCAAGGUUAAGCAGGGCCACACGUUUUCUGGUCUUUAGGGAAGAACUCUGCUUUCAGCUUCUGGUGUUCCCAGGCCUUCCUUAACUUGUGGCUGCAUCACUCCAGCCUCUGCCUUUAUCGUCACAUGGCCUUCCCUCCUGUCUAUUUCUCUGUGUCCUCCACUAAUCUUUUAAGAACACCAGUCACUGGAUUUGGGGCUCACCCUAAAUCCUGGAUGACUUCAUCUUAAAGCCUAUCUGCAAAUACCCUAUUUCCAAUUAAAUCACACUCUAAGGUUUCAGGUGGACAUAAAUUUGGGCGUACACUGUUCAAUCCUCUAAAAACCCCAUGGCUCCUCUUUAACGCAAAGCGGUCAUUCCUGGGUCUAAGGGAGCAGGUAUGGAUUCUGCACCUCUCCCAAUGCCUUAGACCAUCAUUUGCGCGUUGAUGUUAAGAGUCAUACUGCCUGGAUUCAAAGCACGUUGACCCUCCAUAAAUAAAUCCUUUCAAAGCUUCAGUUUUCUCAGUUACAAAAUGGAGAAAAUACAGCCGUCCACAUGGGAGCCUCAUCAGGUUGCAGUGAGAACAAGGUGGGAUAAUCCACGUGGACCGCUUAGCCCAGCCUGUGACCCAUGACUACGGCUCAAUAAAUAUCAGCUGCUACCAAUCAAAGCCAGCGCUGAUGCUUUGGAAGAGUUUGCGUAUCACACAAAAUAAAAUCCAAUCAUCCUCCAGGCUACGUGGGAAGCACCAAAUGGCAUCUAGGUGUCAAUAUUGAGAACAGCUCAAUAAAACUCUUACAUGCAAAUUGCCAUCUCAUCAUGUUUGCCAGAAAACCCAUCCCAGACACCUACAUUCACAAAAUCCCUGAAAGAUGCUGUUCUAUCAAUCUCAUUUUCCUGAUGAGAAAAUUGAGCCUCGGAGAUCAAGCAAUGUCCCCAGAGACAUACAGCUGUAGGAAAACACUGAGAAGCAGCCUUAAGGAACAACAUAGUGGCAAUAUCCAGGCCCUUGGAUUUAUGUCACGUGCUAUCAGC